UUUGGACAUGUGCAGAGGAGGGACCCAGGGUAGAUAGGGAGAAGGAUGCUGAGGAUGGAGCCACCAGGCAGGAGAAGAGGGAGGAGAAAGAGGAUGUUUAUGGAUGUCCUGGGGGAGGACAUGCAGGUGGUUGGUGAGACAGAGGACAAGGUGAGAUGGAGACAAUUGAUCUGCUGUG